rnacentral:rRNA from 1 species
AUUGAACGCUGGCGGCAGGCCUAACACAUGCAAGUCGAGCGGGGUUUUCGGACCUAGCGGCGGACGGGUGAGUAAUGCGUAGGAAGCUACCCGAUAGAGGGGGAUACCAGUUGGAAACGACUGUUAAUACCGCAUAAUGUCUACGGACCAAAGUGUGGGACCUUCGGGCCACAUGCUAUCGGAUGCGCCUACGUGGGAUUAGCUAGUUGGUGAGGUAAUGGCUCACCAAGGCGACGAUCCCUAGCUGGUUUGAGAGGAUGAUCAGCCACACUGGAACGGAGACACGGUCCAGACUCCUACGGGAGGCAGCAGUGGGGAAUAUUGGACAAUGGGCGCAAGCCUGAUCCAGCCAUGCCGCGUGUGUGAAGAAGGCCUUCGGGUUGUAAAGCACUUUCAGUAGGGAGGAAGCGUUGUGUGUUAAUAGUACACAGCGUUGACGUAACCUACAGAAGAAGCACCGGCUAACUCUGUGCCAGCAGCCGCCGUAACAC